GAUAACAAAAAAAAAAAAGGUACGCCCGAUCUUGUCUGAUCUCGGAAGCUAAGCAGGGUCGGGCCUGGUUAGUACUUGGAUGGGAGACCGCCUGGGAAUACCAGGUGCUGUAAGCA
rfam:Salmo salar isolate Sally breed double haploid chromosome ssa14, whole genome shotgun sequence.